UUUGGAUCACUUGGACAAUUUUAGAUUAGAAGAUGGAGCUUUGUGAGGAGGAGUGGUGUGAAAGAUUGGAACAAGACACUCUUGUGGUUUUCUCUCACUUAAAACCUGAAGCUGAAACCCUAGAACCCACCCUACACCUCACGCCCAAGAGGAAGAUUACUUCCUCUAUUUUUCAUGCAUAGAAGCCCUCCCCACUCUC
rnacentral:lncRNA from 1 species